GAGCUUUGCCACUGGGGAAACAGCAGCUGAAGAUUUAGGAAAGGAAUAAUAAUGAGGAGAACAAAAUAAGAGUGUGAGGAAAGUGAGCGUAAGAAAAGAUUUCUCAGCUGCAAAAUACUCGGUAACACUCCCAAUCAAUAUUGGCUCAGCACAGCCCAAAAUCCUGAGACACUGGGAAGACACAGCUCAGAGAUUCCCUAGUCAUUGACUGGGGGUUUUAAUUUAUUCUUUGCAGCCAGACAGUGCUCCCGUUGCCGGCUUGCGGGCACGGCAGCCAACUCUUCCCCCCCCCGCAGCCAAAGGGGCGCUGCCGAAGCGGGGCUGCUUCUGCGAUGGAAGUGUAGGAAGCUCAUGGCUGCAGAGUAAUGCAGACAAAGCAUGAGUGAGAGGGAGACAAAGGGGAUGGAGUCCCAGAAGAUGUGAUCCACCCCGUUUAAAGGAAACGUCCGUAGCCUCUGCAGCUGUGUUUAUGCUGCUUCCCACAAUAGGCACAAAGCCUCUCAUCCCCCCAGGAGAUUUUUACGGCAUUAAUUCACUCUGCACAAAACCCAGCCUGCAAGGCUCCUCUUCAGCAGCGACCUUUUCAUCCCUCCAGCUCCCCCCGUUCCCGAGAGCCCUGCCUGCAGGAGCUGCACCCCUCUGGCUGACCUCCCGCUGCUCUCAAUCAAAUGUCACCUGUACCCAAUGAAGCAGACCCUGAAGUGCCACGAAUGGAUCCCAGGAUUCUUAUUUUCCUUCUCUACAUGAUGAUCCUUCAUGAGCUGGUGAGUGGCUGGAUGGAGUACCAGAAGCAGAUAGCCAAGCCGAAGAAGCAGGCGGGUCCAGUUUGGUCUUCUAGCAACGCCACCCGAUCAAACCACUCCAGCUUCUCCAGGCCUCUGGUCCACUCAGUGCGCAGGGAGAGAUACCGGGAUUGGAGGAAACCAGGGCGGAUCAUCCGGAAAGCAUGAGGAUGCAUCUGUUGGGGAGCAUGGGGAGAGAUUACUGAGCCAGAGGCAACCAUCCCUCAUGAGGUCUGCACUGACUUACCACCUCUCAGCAGCAACCGGCAUGAGACCAUCCUCCGGGCACCGUGAUCUGCAACCUGCAGCUUUCUCCUUUGCACUGAGCCUGGUGCGACCGAGAAGGAACGAGCCCCUUCCUCCUGGGAACCCGUUCCUGCAUGGUGAGGAGCCGGGGUGAAGACACCUCAGCCAGCAGCGGGAUCACUGGAGAUGGGACGAGGCUUUUGCCACCCAACACAGCAAAGUGACUUUUCUUUCUUCUUCCCAAAGGGUUGAGUAGAUGGAGAGUAGAUUUCUUGGGGGAAGAACAAAAUUUGCUCCUGCAUAGGCAACCCCGGGAAGUAUCCUAAUGAUUUUGGUGUCCUCUCCUUCCACCCAAGGACUGCAUGGCUGGUAAGCAGCAUUUCCCAAAGUGACUGGAAUGUCUUUGGUGUCCAGUUUGUCACCGUUCCCAGUAGAACUUGCCUCCACUGGGGCACCCAGAAGUCAGGACACUUUGGAAAUGCUGGCUUCCCAUUAAGUCUCCUUCACUGGGAGUCUGUAUGGGGUUUUUUCUGCUUUUCUUAACCCUUGUUAAAUGAGUUACUCCAGGGUGGAAGGGGAAAGUGCCCUGAACCAGUGACUCAGAGUUAUGCCACCAAACGCAAUUUACUGCAAUGACCUUGUAAUUAGAUUUCUUUGAAGCAUUCCUAGCAGUCGAGCCAAAUGUAAGAGCGACUUUUUAAUGAGCAGAUAGAUGGGAAAGGAAAACAAUAUUGCUCUUUUAUGAGAGUCUGUGAUUUAGGCAUAAAAUUAGAUUUUCAGAGGCAAAAGUCAGUUGUCGCAUCCUGCAGUCAUAUGCAGGACUGGGAAUUGCUGAGCGCUGGAGGGAUUCUGACACUGAGCUCCUAACAGCAAAUGUCCAUGGCCAAACUGCCUGCCUUAUUUGCUGAACAUAAUGUUUGGCUCAAAUGCAGCCUGUUUUUCUCGUUGCCAACCAUUUAUAAACCUGACUCAGGCUCACAGGCGCAUUAUCCAGAAGUAGAUAGGGAAGGGAGUCAGAAUAGAUUAUGCAUUCAUUAUCCAGAAGUAGCCACCAGAUACAUUUGCACAUUUGUCUGCUGCUCAGUUGUUUGCAAAUUGUUCCUGUCGGUUGACGCUGUGUUUGUUCAGUCACCCACAGCAGGAUCACCCAGCCCGAGGUAGAGCUCUGCACCUGAGCUAGGCAUCCAGACCCCUGCGCUGCAAAGAGGGGCACAUGAGGGGCUGUGAUUUGUCUCCUCCAAAAUUAAACAUCAGAAGAAAACUGGCUGAACGGUGCUCUUGAAGUGCCCAGUCCUCUCUCCCAGGCAGGCUGGAUAAGUAACUCAGAUGUAGAACUCUACUGUUAGAGGAGAUUAAGUUUUUGCUUUGGGAGAUGAAGUUCAUGCCUCGUGUUUGGAUAUUUUUGAAAAAGGAGAUAGAAGUAGGAAUUAACACUUUCUGCACAUCUCAAAGCAUAAACUCUCUGCAAAGCUGUGCCUCAGCUCUGUGACACUGUGGCUAUUUCCCAAGGCACCCACUGCCUAUCCCAAUACAUGUAGGUACAUCCACGAGUAACAGAGCAACAAAUGGCGAAGGUAUCAGGAGGAAAAACAUUCAGAAAGUGUUUCUGGGUGGUGGGGAACUUUGCUUCCCUAGAGUUGAGUCUGCCCUGGUCUUAGGAGGGAUGUGCAGCUGGAUGUUCUCCCUGCUUUUCUGCCAGACUGUGUGUGAAUUUGCUGGGGACAAUUGCUGUGCAAAAAGCAUUUAAAUUAAUUACUGAAGUGGUGCAGGAUAGGAUUGGCCUCACUGCAUGGGCUGGGCUCCCAGCCCCAACGGGACAGAUGGACCUGAACAGGGACGGCAGAUGUCCUGACUGCUGCACCCCUAAGGAAUGGGGAAGGGGCAGGAAUGCCUUGCUCUGCUGAUCACAUGCUGGAUUUAUGCCUGUAAAUAUCAUUGUGGUUACUUCCAAUAAACUCUUUU